CUGCAGGAUGGGUUCCCUGUGACGCCCGCGCGCUCCGUCCCUUGCAGGAGGGGGACAGCGCGCUGCAUGACGCCGUGCGGCUCAACCGCUACAAGAUCAUUAAGAUGCUGAUCCUGUACGGGGCGGACAUGAUGGCUCAGAACCUGGCAGGAAAGACCCCCACGGAUCUGGUGCAGCUCUGGCAGGCAGACACCCGGCAGGCGCUGGAGAUGCAGGAGCCUGGCGAGACGGAGGCCCCGGCAUGAGGGCUGGGGAACGGGACCCAGCGGUGGGAAUCUUGGAAUAAAACCCAGUGAACGAGA